rnacentral:rRNA from 1 species
AGAGUUUGAUCCUGGCUCAGGAUGAACGCUAGCGGCAGGCUUAACACAUGCAAGUCGAGGGGCAGCGAGAUUGAAGCUUGCUUCAAUUGUCGGCGACCGGCGGACGGGUGCGUAACGCGUAUGCAACCUACCCAUAACAGGGGGAUAACACUGAGAAAUUGGUACUAAUACCCCAUAACAUCUCGAGUGGCAUCACUUGGGGUUGAAAGCUUCGGUGGUUAUGGAUGGGCAUGCGUUGUAUUAGCUAGUUGGUGAGGUAACGGCUCACCAAGGCGACGAUACAUAGGGGGACUGAGAGGUUAACCCCCCACAUUGGUACUGAGACACGGACCAAACUCCUACGGGAGGCAGCAGUGAGGAAUAUUGGUCAAUGGACGGAAGUCUGAACCAGCCAUGCCGCGUGCAGGAUGACGGCUCUAUGAGUUGUAAACUGCUUUUGUACGAGGGUAAACCCGAAUACGUGUAUUCGGCUGAAAGUAUCGUACGAAUAAGGAUCGGCUAACUCCGUGCCAGCAGCCGCGGUAAUACGGAGGAUCCAAGCGUUAUCCGGAUUUAUUGGGUUUAAAGGGUGCGUAGGCGGUCAGAUAAGUUAGAGGUGAAAUUCCGGUGCUUAACACCGGCGCUGCCUCUAAUACUGUUUGACUAGAGAGUAGUUGCGGUAGGCGGAAUGUAUGGUGUAGCGGUGAAAUGCUUAGAGAUCAUACAGAACACCGAUUGCGAAGGCAGCUUACCAAGCUAUAUCUGACGUUGAGGCACGAAAGCGUGGGGAGCAAACAGGAUUAGAUACCCUGGUAGUCCACGCAGUAAACGAUGAUAACUCGUUGUCGGCGAUACAAUGUCGGUGACUAAGCGAAAGCGAUAAGUUAUCCACCUGGGGAGUACGUUCGCAAGAAUGAAACUCAAAGGAAUUGACGGGGGCCCGCACAAGCGGAGGAACAUGUG